rnacentral:rRNA from 2 species
AGCGUACACGGUGGAUGCCCUGGCAGUCAGAGGCGAUGAAGGACGUGCUAAUCUGCGAUAAGCGUCGGUGAGGUGAUAUGAACCGUUAUAACCGGCGAUUUCCGAAUGGGGAAACCCAGUGUGUUUCGACACACUAUCAUUAACUGAAUCCAUAGGUUAAUGAGGCGAACCGGGGGAACUGAAACAUCUAAGUACCCCGAGGAAAAGAAAUCAACCGAGAUUCCCCCAGUAGCGGCGAGCGAACGGGGAGGAGCCCAGAGCCUGAAUCAGUGUGUGUGUUAGUGGAAGCGUCUGGAAAGGCGUGCGAUACAGGGUGACAGCCCCGUACACAAAAAUGCACAUAUUGUGAGCUCGAUGAGUAGGGCGGGACACGUGGUAUCCUGUCUGAAUAUGGGGGGACCAUCCUCCAAGGCUAAAUACUCCUGACUGACCGAUAGUGAACCAGUACCGUGAGGGAAAGGCGAAAAGAACCCCGGCGAGGGGAGUGAAAAAGAACCUGAAACCGUGUACGUACAAGCAGUGGGAGCCUCUUAAUGGGGUGACUGCGUACCUUUUGUAUAAUGGGUCAGCGACUUAUAUUCUGUAGCAAGGUUAACCGAAUAGGGGAGCCGAAGGGAAACCGAGUCUUAACUGGGCGUUAAGUUGCAGGGUAUAGACCCGAAACCCGGUGAUCUAGCCAUGGGCAGGUUGAAGGUUGGGUAACACUAACUGGAGGACCGAACCGACUAAUGUUGAAAAAUUAGCGGAUGACUUGUGGCUGGGGGUGAAAGGCCAAUCAAACCGGGAGAUAGCUGGUUCUCCCCGAAAGCUAUUUAGGUAGCGCCUCGUGAAUUCAUCUCCGGGGGUAGAGCACUGUUUCGGCAAGGGGGUCAUCCCGACUUACCAACCCGAUGCAAACUGCGAAUACCGGAGAAUGUUAUCACGGGAGACACACGGCGGGUGCUAACGUCCGUCGUGAAGAGGGAAACAACCCAGACCGCCAGCUAAGGUCCCAAAGUCAUGGUUAAGUGGGAAACGAUGUGGGAAGGCCCAGACAGCCAGGAUGUUGGCUUAGAAGCAGCCAUCAUUUAAAGAAAGCGUAAUAGCUCACUGGUCGAGUCGGCCUGCGCGGAAGAUGUAACGGGGCUAAACCAUGCACCGAAGCUGCGGCAGCGACACUAUGUGUUGUUGGGUAGGGGAGCGUUCUGUAAGCCUGUGAAGGUGGCCUGUGAGGGUUGCUGGAGGUAUCAGAAGUGCGAAUGCUGACAUAAGUAACGAUAAAGCGGGUGAAAAGCCCGCUCGCCGGAAGACCAAGGGUUCCUGUCCAACGUUAAUCGGGGCAGGGUGAGUCGACCCCUAAGGCGAGGCCGAAAGGCGUAGUCGAUGGGAAACAGGUUAAUAUUCCUGUACUUGGUGUUACUGCGAAGGGGGGACGGAGAAGGCUAUGUUGGCCGGGCGACGGUUGUCCCGGUUUAAGCGUGUAGGCUGGUUUUCCAGGCAAAUCCGGAAAACCAAGGCUGAGGCGUGAUGACGAGGCACUACGGUGCUGAAGCGACAAAUGCCCUGCUUCCAGGAAAAGCCUCUAAGCAUCAGGUAACAUCAAAUCGUACCCCAAACCGACACAGGUGGUCAGGUAGAGAAUACCAAGGCGCUUGAGAGAACUCGGGUGAAGGAACUAGGCAAAAUGGUGCCGUAACUUCGGGAGAAGGCACGCUGAUAUGUAGGUGAAGCGACUUGCUCGUGGAGCUGAAAUCAGUCGAAGAUACCAGCUGGCUGCAACUGUUUAUUAAAAACACAGCACUGUGCAAACACGAAAGUGGACGUAUACGGUGUGACGCCUGCCCGGUGCCGGAAGGUUAAUUGAUGGGGUUAGCGGCAACGCGAAGCUCUUGAUCGAAGCCCCGGUAAACGGCGGCCGUAACUAUAACGGUCCUAAGGUAGCGAAAUUCCUUGUCGGGUAAGUUCCGACCUGCACGAAUGGCGUAAUGAUGGCCAGGCUGUCUCCACCCGAGACUCAGUGAAAUUGAACUCGCUGUGAAGAUGCAGUGUACCCGCGGCAAGACGGAAAGACCCCGUGAACCUUUACUAUAGCUUGACACUGAACAUUGAGCCUUGAUGUGUAGGAUAGGUGGGAGGCUUUGAAGUGUGGACGCCAGUCUGCAUGGAGCCGACCUUGAAAUACCACCCUUUAAUGUUUGAUGUUCUAACGUUGGCCCGUAAUCCGGGUUGCGGACAGUGUCUGGUGGGUAGUUUGACUGGGGCGGUCUCCUCCUAAAGAGUAACGGAGGAGCACGAAGGUUGGCUAAUCCUGGUCGGACAUCAGGAGGUUAGUGCAAUGGCAUAAGCCAGCUUGACUGCGAGCGUGACGGCGCGAGCAGGUGCGAAAGCAGGUCAUAGUGAUCCGGUGGUUCUGAAUGGAAGGGCCAUCGCUCAACGGAUAAAAGGUACUCCGGGGAUAACAGGCUGAUACCGCCCAAGAGUUCAUAUCGACGGCGGUGUUUGGCACCUCGAUGUCGGCUCAUCACAUCCUGGGGCUGAAGUAGGUCCCAAGGGUAUGGCUGUUCGCCAUUUAAAGUGGUACGCGAGCUGGGUUUAGAACGUCGUGAGACAGUUCGGUCCCUAUCUGCCGUGGGCGCUGGAGAACUGAGGGGGGCUGCUCCUAGUACGAGAGGACCGGAGUGGACGCAUCACUGGU